rnacentral:rRNA from 1 species
CAUGCAGUCGACGAGUUUUACCUUCGGGUAAGCUAGUGGCGAACGGGUGAGUAACACGUAGAUAACCAACCCUUUUGACGAGGAUAACCCGGGGAAACCUGGACUAAUACUGGAUAGGAGCUAAUUUCAAAAGAGAUUAGUUUUAAAGGCGCCACAAAGCGUCGCGAGAGGAUGGGACUGCGUCGCAUUAGCUAGUUGGUGGGGUAACGGCCUACCAAGGCAACGAUGCGUAGCUGGGCUGAGAGGCCGAACAGCCACACUGGGACUGAGACACGGCCCAGACUCCUACGGGAGGCAGCAGUAGGGAAUUUUCGGCAAUGGGGGGAACCCUGACCGAGCAAUGCCGCGUGAAUGAAGAAGGUCUUCGGACUGUAAAGUUCUGUUAUGGGGAAAGAAAGUGCAUAAUAGGAAAUGAUUAUGUAUUGACGGUACCCGUAUUAGAAAGCCCCGGCUAACUACGUGCCA